AUGUAGCGCCGAAAUCAAACUGAAUCCGUACGAACACGUAGGAACGAGCUGGCCGGUUGACCGCCAAGAUGGCGGCAUAACACAAAAUCACGUGAUAAAAUCACCUCUAUAGACGUCUUCCACGUCGUGGUCACGUAACACGGACGUAACGUGUGGGCGGAGCUUCCGCCAAAAUUCAAAUCCGAGAGCGCGGCUCGCAACAGGUAGGAAGGCGGCAAUGCCGAGCGACGCGACACGACACAGCGACGACUAACAAGAGAAAUAUUUUUAUUUUCUGCUUGCAACUGUACCGUCCAGAGCGCACACGAUAAUAUUACGCCGCAGUCAUGUGACGCGGACGUGACGUCGGUGGGUGGAGCUUCCGCCAAAAUUCAAAUCCGAGGACGCGGCUUGCAACUGGACGUAGGAAGGCGGCAAUGCCGAGAAACGCGACGCAGCGACGACUAACAAGAGAAAUAUUUUUAUUUCCUGCUUGCAACUGGACCGUCUAGAGCGUACACGGUUCAACGUUGUUUGUUUGCUGUAUGUUUUCCACUGUAAGAAGAAGAAGAAUGUAAGAAGAAUGACUAUACAAAUCAAUUGGAGGCUUGCUUCAUUGAUCACAACCGUUCCACGCUGUUCGUUGCCAGUAUGUUUGAAAGAUACAAAGUACAACGUUUGCACGUUGGCGAAGACGUCUCCGGUUCCACGGUGUUCGUUGCUUGUAUGUUUGAAGGACACAAAUACAAAGUACAACGUUUGCACGUUGGCGAAGACGUCUCCGGUGAGUCCUUCCUUCCUUUUUAUUCACGGGAAAGACAACAAUAGCUAAAGUAACACAUUGUUAGAGAUAACUACAUUUGUUUUAAAUUGGAUAGAUUACUUGUUCACACACCUUUUCAAACAAGUAAACUGGGCAUUUUGUGCAGGAGAAUUUCUGUUUACCUAGUAUUCACACAGUCAUCAUUUUCUUGUUUUUAUAUUAUGUCGUUUACUUGUUUGUCUAUAGUGUAAUAUGUCUCGUCACCGUGGGAUAGUGAAAACGUAAUUUCGGUUUCUUUGUGUCUUGACAUGUAAAGAGAUUGACAAUAAAGCUGACUUUGACUUUGACUAAAUGAACAAAUAAGAUUCAUUCACUCACUCAUUCAUUCAAAAUAUCCAAAGUUGUGUGUGCUAUGUGUAGAUGAGAAUAGAUCUCAUGUUACUUCAUUUGCUGUGUU